rnacentral:sRNA from 1 species
GCUGUACUGGUUAGAUUGGGAUACUCAUCAAUUAGAAUAGAAAUGCCGAGAUAGCUGACUUGUUCAAUGGCGUGCCGAUAUGCGUGGUAGCCUAUACGGCGAGACGUAGGGUCGGAUUACAGAGACUUGAAGGCACUCAAAUCCUUACAUACUCGGAGUUUCAUCAUCAUUACCGGUACAGCCUUC